rnacentral:rRNA from 1 species
UGAACGCGGGCGGCAGGCCUAACACAUGCAAGUCGAGCGGUAGAGAGAAGCUUGCUUCUCUUGAGAGCGGCGGACGGGUGAGUAAUGCCUAGGAAUCUGCCUGGUAGUGGGGGAUAACGUUCGGAAACGGACGCUAAUACCGCAUACGUCCUACGGGAGAAAGCAGGGGACCUUCGGGCCUUGCGCUAUCAGAUGAGCCUAGGUCGGAUUAGCUAGUUGGUGAGGUAAUGGCUCACCAAGGCGACGAUCCGUAACUGGUCUGAGAGGAUGAUCAGUCACACUGGAACUGAGACACGGUCCAGACUCCUACGGGAGGCAGCAGUGGGGAAUAUUGGACAAUGGGCGAAAGCCUGAUCCAGCCAUGCCGCGUGUGUGAAGAAGGUCUUCGGAUUGUAAAGCACUUUAAGUUGGGAGGAAGGGUUGUAGAUUAAUACUCUGCAAUUUGGACGUUACCGACAGAAUAAGCACCGGCUAACUCUGUGCCAGCAGCCGCGGUAAUACAGAGGGUGCAAGCGUUAAUCGGAAUUACUGGGCGUAAAGCGCGCGUAGGUGGUUUGUUAAGUUGGAUGUGAAAUCCCCGGGCUCAACCUGGGAACUGCAUUCAAAACUGACUGACUAGAGUAUGGUAGAGGGUGGUGGAAUUUCCUGUGUAGCGGUGAAAUGCGUAGAUAUAGGAAGGAACACCAGUGGCGAAGGCGACCACCUGGACUAAUACUGACACUGAGGUGCGAAUGCGU